rnacentral:piRNA from 1 species
AGGCAUGGAAGCACUUCUUCCCA